CCCCGGAUGAGGGCAAGAUGGCGGUGGUGGGGAUGGCGGCGCUGCGGGCGCUGAGGAGGCUCUGCUGCGUCGCCGUUUUCCUCUCGCAGCUCUACGUCCUCUCCGGCCGGGGGUCGCUCAGCUUAGAGCAUUCUCCCCCACAAGCUCCACUCGCAAAGAUUGCAGGGGUCCCUACAAGCACACAUGUUCCAGCAUCUAAAGUACCAGAGGGUACCUCAGUUCCAGCUUACGUGACCCGAUGCCCCAGUAACGGGCUCUGUAGCCGACUGCCUCCAGAAUGCAUGACCUGUAGGGCAAAUUAUUCUUGUGUCUAUGGCAAACCAGCGACCUUCGAAUGUGAAGCCAAAUCCCAGGUCCACUGCGUUGAUCAAAGCAACAGUCCUCAAAAGACCUUCCUGAUCAACAUGACUUGCCAGUUUUGCUGGCAGCUCCCACCCUCAAGCUACCUUUGCUCCAAUCCUACCAACUGCAAGACGGUCUCGUGCCCGCGAGAACGUUACAGUGCCAAUUGCACCGUGAAAGACCACAUUCAUUGUCUAGGAAAUCGUACUUUUCCCAAGAUGCUUUAUUGCAACUGGACUGGAGGCUACAAAUGGUCAACAGCCUUGGCCUUAAGCAUCACGCUCGGUGGCUUUGGCGCUGAUCGGUUCUACCUGGGACAGUGGCGGGAGGGUCUAGGCAAACUCUUCAGUUUUGGCGGUCUGGGAAUCUGGACGCUCAUCGACGUGCUACUGAUUGGAGUCGGGUAUGUGGGUCCCACAGACGGCUCGCUCUACAUCUAACCCUUGAAGCAAACUGUUCAAUUCGAUGGAUCACCCUGAGAGAUUCACAGCUCAGACUUGAAAGGUCUGUCUGGAAACGUUUGCACGUCCGUUUAACGUACAGUAUCUGUACUUGGCCUGCCUUUAUUUUAAGCAGAUGCGUGCAAGCCGUCAAGAGAAUCUAAAAGUGGUUUCAAUUUUUCACUGUAACUGGCAUCCCCAGUACGUUUUGGUGUCUGGAAAUACUGCAGCGUCAGAGAGUGGCAAGUGAUCAAGCAAGCGCACUUCCAGAAAGUAAGGUUCACCAGACUCAAGGUGACUUAGCACCGAGUAACCACAUUCAUUCAGGACCUGGCCAGUAUUCUUCAUUCUUUGUUGGCGACAACUAGAAUUCUUCUGCGUGUAAAGUACGGCAUGCUUUCAACUUCUUUAGUUUCUCAAUGGCAAAAGAAACCAAGACUUCUCCGUGGACUUUGUUAUCCCUGGUCCUCACGUUGACAGUAUGGCCUGCUUUUUCCUUCUCUCCGACCAC